rnacentral:misc_RNA from 1 species
GAUGAAGAACGCAGCGAAAUGCGAUAAGUAAUGUGAAUUGCAGAAUUCAGUGAAUCAUCGAAUCUUUGAACGCACAUUGCGCCCGCUGGUAUUCCGGCGGGCAUGCCUGUUCGAGCAUCAUUUCAACCCUCAAGCUCUCCGGAGUUUGGUGUUGGGGCGCCUGGGGCUUUUCGACCUCAGGGCCCUCAAGUCCAUCGGCGGGACCGCCAGGACACUGAGCGCAGUAGUAUUAUUUCGCUCGGUAGGAUCUUCCACGGCGGGUCGAUCUGGCCGCUAAACCCCCCAAUUCUCACCAAAGGUUGACCUCGGAUCAGGUAGGAAUACCCGCUGAACUUAAGCAUAUCAAUAAGCGGAGGA